CACUGAGGGAAGCCAGAUGCUCCAUGUGAACUGCCUUAGAGAGGGCCAUGCAGCAAGUAGAUGCCUCUGUCCAACAGCCAGCAAAGACCUGAGACCUACCAAUAACCAUAGAAGUGAUCUUGGAAGCUAGUUCUUCUCUGUAGUUGAGCUUUGAGAUGAAUGCAGCUCUGAGUGACACUUUUACUGCAACUCAUUGAAAGACCCAUAUUCAGAGGAUAUAUAACUAAGCUGUGCCCAGUUUCCAGGCCCAUAGAAACGGUUAUCAAAAAGGAGACAAUGUUAUUAUAUUUACAGCUUCACAGAUUUAUAUAUCAAGAGAAACUACCCAAGGAGACUCAUCCACACUUGGAAGAGAUUUAGACAAUGAGAUUCUGGACCGUGAGCAGAUGAGAUAAGACUUUUGAGGAUGUUGGGAGGAGGUGGAUGUAUUUUGUGCAUGGAAAGGAUGUGAACAGCUAGAGGUCAGAAUGUGGACUACCAUGAAAGGCUCUAACGUGAACCCAAAUUUUACUUUUAUCUGAUGGUCACAACUUGUGUAAUCCUCUCCACUGGAGUGUGCAAAGAACUCAUAAUGGUUACCUUGCUUCUAACUAAUAUAAUAAAUACUUCAGUGAUUACAUACAUAAGAUUAUAAAGUGUCUUGCAGGCAACCUCUUUCUUUUUUGCAGGAUUUGUUGAAGGCAGCUACUAUGUUUUGACCUGUCUUAGGGAGACACCAACAUGAGAAGAGAAUGAAGGAGGCUUCCCUUCAACAGCCAGCGAGAAAAAGAGAUUCUCAGGAAUUUAAACAACAAAGAAAGAAGUUUACCAACUAUCACAUGUGCUUGGAAGUGGAGCCUUGCUCAAUUGAGAUUUGAGAUAAGACAACAGCCCAGGCUAACACCUUGUUUGCAGCCUUUUGAGACCUGAAAUAAGACCCACUCGUCUCCAUUUACCUGUGAGCCCCAUCCCUAGAAGCAGACAUCCAAAGCCCCAGAAAAGAUGGGCUUAUUUCCUGCUCUGUCCCAAGGGCAAAGCUUCCGAGGAGAAGAGCAGCUCAUUGUGAUGAAGUAGCUGCUGCGCUUGAUUGUUACUAGGCAAAAAUAUUGUUUCAAUAUUGUCCUGUUAUCUAAUAAACUUCUCAUGGAAAAGGAGACUGAGAUGCCAACUUUAUUUUUCAAAAAUAUUGUAAGAAAAGCCCCACAUGGCUCUGAAGGGGAU
rnacentral:lncRNA from 1 species